UCUCGAUUGGUCUAGUGGUCAGGAUACCUGCUUGUCAUUUGUCGUAGAAUAAAUCGCAGGUGGCCGGGGUUCGAUUCCCCGAUCGAGAG